UACGUAGGUGACAAGCGUUGUCCGGAUUUACUGGGCGUAAAGAGCGCGCAGGCGGUCGAUCAAGUCGAGUGUGAAAGCCCCCGGCUCAACUGGGGAGGGUCAUUCGAUACUGAUCGACUCGAAGGCAGGAGAGGGUAGUGGAAUUCCCGGUGUAGUGGUGAAAUGCGUAGAUAUCGGGAGGAACACCAGUGGCGAAGGCGACUACCUGGCCUGUUCUGGACGCUGAGGCGCGAAAGCUAGGGAGCAAACGGG
rnacentral:rRNA from 1 species